rnacentral:lncRNA from 1 species
CUGAGUUAAUCUUGAAUAUUAAACUUUGCACUCUGUAAAUAACGUGGUUAUGUUUUAAGAUUGUUUUGAUUCCUUUUGGUUUUUAUUGGUCCUAGGCCUUCGCUGCAGGAUGUACUAAGUAAUGAAAAAGCCGGUUAUGGAAAGUAUGUAAACAGGUUUUCAUUUUGUUUUGGUUUUGCUUAAAGUGUGAGCUUGGGGUCUUCCAAGGCAUUCAAGUUACCAUGCUGGUUGCUUUUCCAUAGAUGUAAAGUUUCUAAGAUAGUUACCCACAGAAGUGUUCACAUCAUCUUAAUAUAGCCCCAUCUUCCCCUGUAGUGACCAAUGUUACCUGUGAUGACAAACUUAUAUUUGGUAUCCGUAGCUUAAUUAUUCAUGCACUCGUCAUAUUCAAGAAUAUAACCAAGUAGGGCAAAGCAAGGGAGUAAGGUAUAUGGGCCCAUAAUAGUCCCUUCCCCAAAUUCAGCAUUUUUCUUUGUGAUCUGGUGACCUCUUAAUCACUUUUCUUAUUUUCUUUUUAUCUAUCUAUCGAUUGAGAGAAAGAAAGCAUGCACAGGUGAGGGAGGGAGGGAGGGAAGGAGUGAGGGAGGGAGAGAGUGGGGAAGAGAUAGAGAGAGAGACAGAGAGAGAGAGAGAGAGAAUACCAAGCAGCCUCCACAUUGUGGAGCCCAGUGUGGUGCUCAAAUUUAUGAGCCCUAAGAUCAUGACCUGAGUCAAAAUCAAGAGUCAGACACUUAACUGAUUGAGCCACCCAGGUGCCUUCACUUUUCAUUUUGGAUCAGGAAAUGGUGACAUUAUAACAUCAUUUGUGUUUAGGUGGUAAUAACUAUGUAUCUGAACUGUGGUCAUAUGAAGUUGACAAGUCCCUUCCUAAAAUAUGGGAUGGUGACAAAGCGAAGCAACCUUGGGAAAAUCAGAGACUUCCCUGGCAGACGAAUGAAGUCUUCCAUGGCCUCCUGCUUCCAAGUAUAAGAGUGCCGGAAGAUCCCGGAAGAUGUGCUGGCAGCUUCAAGUCUGAGUGUGGAGAUAGAAAAGGGAAAAAAAAAAAUGUAAGAGAUGUCACAUCUAGAAGGUCGUCUCUUCCUCCAGCAAGAAAAGACUUAUGGAAGUGAUAUCAUUUGAGGUAAGUCAUAAAUAAUAGUUAAUAUCUGAGAGGUAGAAACAGGAGCAAGUUCAGAGACAGAGGCAAGCUAAGUGCAUGCUUUUGCUGCCCUCUGCCUUCU